rnacentral:rRNA from 1 species
UGAGUAACCUGCCCUUGACUCUGGGAUAAGCCCGGGAAACUGGGUCUAAUACUGGAUGCUACAUGUCACCGCAUGGUGGUGUGUGGAAAGGGUUUACUGGUCUUGGAUGGGCUCACGGCCUAUCAGCUUGUUGGUGAGGUAAUGGCUCACCAAGGCGACGACGGGUAGCCGGCCUGAGAGGGUGACCGGCCACACUGGGACUGAAACACGGCCCAGACUCCUACGGGAGGCAGCAGUGGGGAAUAUUGCACAAUGGGCGAAAGCCUGAUGCAGCGACGCCGCGUGAGGGAUGACGGCCUUCGGGUUGUAAACCUCUUUCAGCAGGGAAGAAGCCACAAGUGACGGUACCUGCAGAAGAAGCGCCGGCUAACUACGUGCCAGCAGCCGCGGUAAUACGUAGGGCGCAAGCGUUGUCCGGAAUUAUUGGGCGUAAAGAGCUCGUAGGCGGUUUGUCGCGUCUGCUGUGAAAGCCCGGGGCUUAACCCCGGGUGUGCAGUGGGUACGGGCAGACUAGAGUGCAGUAGGGGAGACUGGAAUUCCUGGUGUAGCGGUGGAAUGCGCAGAUAUCAGGAGGAACACCGAUGGCGAAGGCAGGUCUCUGGGCUGUUACUGACGCUGAGGAGCGAAAGCAUGGGGAGCGAACAGGAUUAGAUACCCUGGUAGUCCAUGCCGUAAACGUUGGGCACUAGGUGUGGGGG